rnacentral:ncRNA from 2 species
UUCUUAUCCAGAGUGGCUGAGGGACUGGCCCGGUGAAGCCACAGCAACCGAUACUUCGUGUAUGUCAGGUGCUAAAUCCAGCAAGGCGUGUAGCCUUGGAAGAUAAGAC